GUGGGAUGUCAAAAUCCACGUCUCUGGAUGCUUGAAGGAUUGGAGAAGAAACAAGAAUAAAACAUUAAAUAUAAUUUACUAUUAGAUCAGAUGCCAGCAUAUUGAGCAGGAUGGAAACAACAAACAUAUUGGAUUUAAAAAUGCUGUUGAUGAACCUCAGGGUGAUUUCAUCCCAUUCUUCAGGCAACAGCAUCAGCAGAAACCCAAUGCAGAUGAUGAUGGUAGCAGCCAGGCGGACGACAUUGAAUAUCACCUCCUGCUUUAGGAGAUCCACAGCUAGGAAAGAAAAAUCAAGUCAUGCAUUGCAUAUGCCUGUUUCUAAGCUUUGAAAACAAGUCACCAAAGUCUAUGUUACUUCUAGAGAUUUCCAAGAGUCGUCUUUAUUCUUCCAAUCCUGAUCACAUGACAAAUGUUCAAUAAACAUUUGCUGAUUGUCGUGGAGGACAGAAAAGUGGCUGCUCAAGACUUGAAAUUAUAAAAUUUUAAAGUUAAAAGGACUAUACAAUCAUCCAGAUAAUCCAUUUGUAUUUCUUGUUUCACUGGCAGGUUUCUCUAGAAAUAUUAUCCUGGAAAAAUAGCUUCUCUUGUCCCUGAGGUGAAUAAAAUUGUUUUUUCCUUAUAUCUAUCCCAGAGGGCCACCUGCUCUGCCCCAGGAGAGCCUUCUGUGGCUCCCCAUGGGUUGUCUGAGGAGAAGCCAACCCCAUGUACAUCCUCUACACUUUCAUUAGUGACGGUUACUUGAAAGUCCUAUGCUGGGAUGCCUUUUGUUUCCAUAGGACUUUCUCUAAAAAUACCACAAAAUUAGGUUGUCAGGGAGAUUACAUGAAACCCAAAUGAUACAUUUGGUAUUUAAUUCUAAAAGCACAACCAAGUAAAAACAGUGUUUUUUAGCUGCAAAUUUUAAAUCUGCUGCAUAGUUAUUCUGUUGUCUGCCACCUUCACGAUAUUUAAAAACAUCUUCCCAGGCAAGGAACAUAAUUCACAAUUUCUAGAAGGAACAA